GACGAACGCUGGCGGCGUGCUUAACACAUGCAAGUCGAACGGAAAGGCCCUGCUUUUGUGGGGUGCUCGAGUGGCGAACGGGUGAGUAACACGUGAGUAACCUGCCCUUGACUUUGGGAUAACUUCAGGAAACUGGGGCUAAUACCGGAUAGGAGCUCCUGCUGCAUGAUGGGGGUUGGAAAGUUUCGGCGGCUGGGGAUGGACUCGCGGCUUAUCAGCUUGUUGGUGGGGUAGUGGCUUACCAAGGCUUUGACGGGUAGCCGGCCUGAGAGGGUGACCGGCCACAUUGGGACUGAGAUACGGCCCAGACUCCUACGGGAGGCAGCAGUGGGGAAUAUUGCACAAUGGGCGGAAGCCUGAUGCAGCAACGCCGCGUGCGGGAUGACGGCCUUCGGGUUGUAAACCGCUUUCGCCUGUGACGAAGCGUGAGUGACGGUAAUGGGUAAAGAAGCACCGGCUAACUACGUG
rnacentral:rRNA from 1 species